rnacentral:rRNA from 1 species
UCCGUAGGCGGUGCGGCAAGUCGGAAGUGAAAUCUCAGGGCUUAACCCUGAGGCUGCUUCCGAAACUGCCGUGCUGGAGUGCGAGAGAGGCGAGUGGAAUUGCAGGUGUAGCGGUGAAAUGCGUAGAUAUCUGCAGGAACAUCCGAGGCGAAAGCGGCUCGCUGGAUCGCAACUGACGCUGAGGGACGAAAGCUAGGGGAGCAAACAGGAUUAGAUACCCUGGUAGUCCUAGCCCUAAACGAUCAGGACUGGGCGUGGGCCUCGUACGGGGCUCGUGCCGCAGCUAACGCGUUAAGUCCUGCGCCUGGGGGGUACGGUCGCAAGGCUGAA